UUAAAUUGAAGAGUUUGAUCAUGGCUCAGAUUGAACGCUGGCGGCAGGCCUAACACAUGCAAGUCGAACGGUAACAGGAAGCAGCUUGCUGUUUCGCUGACGAGUGGCGGACGGGUGAGUAAUGUCUGGGAAACUGCCUGAUGGAG
rnacentral:rRNA from 1 species